CCCAGCCGCCACUCCAGACUCACUACCCUGACUCGCUCGACUCGUCACCGCGCUCCCUCAACACCGACUCCUUGGACGACCCUCUCCCGCCGGCGUCCAGGCUCUGGCUGAUGUGCAGCUACGGCGGCCACAUCGUGCCGCGGCUGCACGACAAGUCGUUGUGGUACGUCGGCGGCGACACUCAAAUCGUCGUCAUGGACAGGAACACUUCGCUCGCGGACCUCUCGAAUUGGCGAUGCUCAACCGUGGCUUCUCCGACUCUGCCUUCGUUAACUGUUUGCUCGGCUUAGACUACGGUGGCGGCGGCGGUGCCGAUACAAUUCAGAUUCAAGAGGAGGAGACGCAGAGGCUUAUGCGGCGGCGAAUUGCAGGAUCAGAAGUCGUUUGGGUGAACAUCGUCGUCUCCGUCGCUGGCGAAUUUGCCUCCGAUUCGGGUCCACGUGGAAGACGGCG
rnacentral:lncRNA from 1 species